AUUGAACGCUGGCGGCAUGCCUUACACAUGCAAGUCGAACGGCAGCACGGGAGCAAUCCUGGUGGCGAGUGGCGAACGGGUGAGUAAUAUAUCGGAACGUGCCCAGUCGUGGGGAUAACGUAGCGAAAGCUACGCUAAUACCGCAUACGAUCUAUGGAUGAAAGCGGGGGAUCGCAAGACCUCGCGCGAUUGGAGCGGCCGAUAUCAGAUUAGGUAGUUGGUGAGGUAAAGGCUCACCAAGCCGACGAUCUGUAGCUGGUCUGAGAGGACGACCAGCCGCACUGGGACUGAGACACGGCCCAGACUCCUACGGGAGGCAGCAGUGGGGAAUUUUGGACAAUGGGCGCAAGCCUGAUCCAGCAAUGCCGCGUGCAGGAUGAAGGCCUUC
rnacentral:rRNA from 1 species